UUUCGUUCUCGGGGCGGGGUGUAACUCCCCACCGGCGGUAAAAGCAGGGGGUGGCGUAGGCUAUUCUCAUUGCGUAAGCCCGCGAGCGCCUCCUGUUAAUUCAGAAGGGUCAGCAGAUCUGGUGAGACUCCAGAGCCGACGGUUAUAGUCCGGAUGAUAGAGAGCGUGU
rnacentral:ncRNA from 2 species